CCUACGGGUGGCAGCAGUGGGGAAUAUUGGACAAUGGGCGAAAGCCUGAUCCAGCCAUGCCGCGUGUGUGAAGAAGGCCUUCGGGUUGUAAAGCACUUUCAGUGGGGAAGAAAGCCUUGGGGCUAAUACCCUCGAGGAAGGACAUCACCCACAGAAGAAGCACCGGCUAACUCCGUACCAGCAGCCGCGGUAAUACGGAGGGUGCGAGCGUUAAUCGGAAUUACUGGGCGUAAAGCGCGCGUAGGCGGUCUGAUAAGCCGGUUGUGAAAGCCCCGGGCUCAACCUGGGAACGGCAUCCGGAACUGUCAGGCUAGAGUGCAGGAGAGGAAGGUAGAAUUCCCGGUGCAGCGGUGAAAUACGUAGAGAUCGGGAGGAAUACCAGUGGCGAAGGCGGCCUUCUGGACUGACACUGACGCUGAGGUGCGAAAGCGUGGGUAGCAAACAGGAUUAGAUACCCGGUAGUC
rnacentral:rRNA from 1 species